rnacentral:sRNA from 2 species
UCUUUGCGUUAGCUAUUGCAGCGGCAUCCUUUUUUGGCCGAGCCGGCCGGCCAAAAAAGAUACAGCGGAAAGAGCGACCCGAU